rnacentral:misc_RNA from 2 species
GAGGGAGGAAGGCUCUUGGGUUGUAAACCUCAAAACUUAGGGAAGAAAAAAAUGACGGUACCUAAUGUAAGCAUCGGCUAACUCCGUGCCAGCAGCCGCGGUAAUACGGAGGAUGCAAGCGUUAUCCGGAAUCAUUGGGCGUAAAGAGUCCGUAGGUGGCGAAGAAAGUCCGUGGUUAAAGACUAGAGCUAAACUCUGGGUAGGCCAUGGAAACUAAUAAGCUAGAGUUCGGGAGGGGUAAAGGGAAUUCCCAGUGUAGCGGUGAAAUGCGUAGAGAUUGGGAAGAACACCAGUGGCGAAGGCGCUUUGCUGGACCGAAACUGACACUGAGGGACGAAAGCUAAGGGAGCGAAAGGGAUUAGAUACCCCUGUAGUCUUAGCAGUAAACGAUGGAUACUAGGCGUAGUCCGUAUCAACUCGGACUGUGCCGAAGCUAACGCGUUAAGUAUCCCGCCUGGGGAGUACGCACGCAAGUGUGAAACUCAAAGGAAUUGACGGGGACCCGCACAAGCGGUGGAGUAUGUGGUUUAAUUCGAUGCAACGCGAAGAACCUUACCAAGACUUGACAUCCGACGAAGUGAGUGGAAACAAACACGUGCCUAAGGGAACGUCGUGACAGGUGGUGCAUGGCUGUCGUCAGCUCGUGUCGUGAGAUGUUGGGUUAAGUCCCGCAACGAGCGCAACCCUCGUUCUUAGUUGCCAAUAUUAAGUUAGGGACUCUAAGGAGACUGCCGGUGACAAACCGGAGGAAGGUGGGGAUGACGUCAAGUCAGCAUGCCCCUUACGUCUUGGGCUACACACGUACUACAAUGGUAAGGACAAAGGGCAGCAAACCUGAGAAGGCAAGCGAAUCUCAGCAAACCUUACCCCAGUUCAGAUUGCAGGCUGCAACUCGCCUGCAUGAAGUAGGAAUCGCUAGUAAUCGCCGGUCAGCAUACGGCGGUGAAUCCGUUCCCGGGUCUUGUACACACCGCCCGUCACACCAUGGAAGUUGGUCACGCCCGAAGUCGUUACUCCAACCCGAAAGGGAGGAGGAUGCCGAAGGUGGGACUAGUGACUGGGGUGAAGUCGUAACAAGGUAGCCGUACCGGAAGGUGUGGCUGGAUCACCUCCUUAAAAGGAGACCAGAAAUCUAAAGGAACUAAAAAGCCUUGGGAUGGAAAGUCAGGCAAGGGAAAAAGAAAAGGAAAGGCUCUCAAAUUAUAUAGGUUUCGAUUGGGCGAUUAGCUCAGCUGGUUAGAGCGCACCCCUGAUAAGGGUGAGGUCCUCGGUUCAAGUCCGAGAUGGCCCACUAACCAAAAGUCAAAAGCCAAAGUUUUGUAUUUUGAGUUUGGAAAAUUGGGGGUAUAGCUCAGUUGGUAGAGCGCCUGCUUUGCAAGCAGGAUGUCAGCGGUUCGAGUCCGCUUACCUCCACCAAAAAGAGAAGGAAAACUUGUCAGCACUUAAAUCAGAAGAGGAGAGAUGCUGGGUAGUAGAAUCCAGUAAGAACCUUGAAAACUGCAUAGAAUAAGAAGAGAAAGUCAGGUAACAAACAGGUCAAGCCAGAAAGGGCUAACGGUGGAUACCUAGG